rnacentral:rRNA from 1 species
GCGGACGGGUGAGUAAUGCGUAGGAAGCUACCCGACAGAGGGGGAUACCAGUUGGAAACGACUGUUAAUACCGCAUAAUGUCUACGGACCAAAGUGUGGGACCUUCGGGCCACAUGCUGUCGGAUGCGCCUACGUGGGAUUAGCUAGUUGGUGAGGUAAUGGCUCACCAAGGCGACGAUCCCUAGCUGGUUUGAGAGGAUGAUCAGCCACACUGGAACUGAGACACGGUCCAGACUCCUACGGGAGGCAGCAGUGGGGAAUAUUGGACAAUGGGCGAAAGCCUGAUCCAGCCAUGCCGCGUGUGUGAAGAAGGCCUUCGGGUUGUAAAGCACUUUCAGUAGGGAGGAAGAGUUGAGUGUUAAUAGUACUCAGCUUUGACGUUACCUACAGAAGAAGCACCGGCUAACUCUGUGCCAGCAGCCGCGGUAAUACAGAGGGUGCAAGCGUUAAUCGGAAUUACUGGGCGUAAAGCGCACGCAGGCGGUUGGUUAAGUCAGAUGUGAAAGCCCCGGGCUCAACCUGGGAAUUGCAUUUGAAACUGGCCAACUAGAGUACGUGAGAGGGGGGUAGAAUUCCAAGUGUAGCGGUGAAAUGCGUAGAGAUUUGGAGGAAUACCAGUGGCGAAGGCGGCCCCCUGGCACGAUACUGACG